AGCACUAAGGAGCUAAUUAUUUUGUGAGCUGAGAUCACUCUUUAGGAGAGGAAACACCUUCUCCCAGGGUCAGGAGCAGCAGUGUCUUUUAAAGCAUUUCCUGGAACACGGGGACAUAAAUUUGGAAGCUGCCUCAGCAAGUUGAGCACUCUGUCUCAUGUGGGAGUUGGGACACUGUGAGGAAUCAAGAAUCUGCUGCUGAGGAAAUAACUAAGGAAUAGCACCUAACUGUGUGAAGAGAUCUUAAGACAGCUCGUCUGGAGGUGCCAGCUGGCUCUGGACUCAAGAGAAGAAGCAGUUUUAGAAUAAGGAGAAAUCACUGCAGACCAUUUAAGGAAAGACUUCAGAGGUGAGACUCUUGACAGUCCUGUGGGAGAUGGACAGAAUCCACUUGGAGACCGUAAGUUCCUAGCAAAGUCACAGCAUGGAAGGGUACUUGGGGCCCAAAGAGCUAACACUUUCACAGAGGACACACCAAGAAUCCUAAAUUGUAAACUGACUCAUGGGCACUUGAGCCUUUUGCAUUAAGGGUCUAGCAAGCAAAGAAGAGUCAGAAUCCUGACAGAGAGAACUGACCUUGAUCAUCAGGAGGAGAAGCAAUAUGUUGAGAGCUGAUUAUGCUCUGGGAGUUCUCUGGCAACCAGUUAUUUGUUUCUCAAGGUUUUGGAGGCCGAGAAAUCAAGAUCAAGGAAGCUGCAGAUUUGGUAUCUGAUGCUACUGCAGGAUGGAUUCCGUCAAAUCAAGGUUAUAAACAAUGACAACAACAACAACAGCAAAAACUAAGAUAGAUGAUUCAUAAAAUGGAAGCUCAAACACUGGAGAUCAGAGAAGGAAAAUGCUAGAUGAGUAAUAAGUUAUACUCAGAGAAUUAUCAAUCUCAAUUGGUGCCAGAGCACAGAGGCUACAAGAGAAAGUUAUCUGAGAAAUAAAGGGAGCUAAUGGAUUUGUAUUUUGGCAUUUAGAAAAAAAUCAGUUGGUAUCCAACAGUUCACCUGAACUUUUUAAAAAAUAGAUAAAUAGAAAAACACUGUAUGAAAAGAGAAUCUUCAUUAUAGUAUACUACCUGGCUCAGUAGAGAGCAAUAUUUUUAUAGCCAUAUGCUAUCUUCCUUUGACUGAUAAUGAUGUUGAGAAACUCAUGAGAAGGCCAGAGAUAGGAAGCUAGACUAAAUAAUCAACAUCCAUAAUAAGAUACAAUAUCCCAACUGAUAAAGAAAUAGAAGGAAACCAUCACUGCAUAGGUAAGUUCCAGAUAAAAUGGUUAGGGCACACUAGUGGAAUAGGAGGUACAGGGCAGAGAAAGAGAUCAUUGGGUUUUUUUUAGGCCUUUUAGCACUGUCAAACUUUAAGUCCAUAAAUGUGUUACUUUGAAUAAUGCUUUAAAAAUAUAAUUUAAGGCAAACUGAUGGAAAGGAUCCCCCACAUACUGAAUAGAUUGAACGAAAUAUGAGUUAGGCCUAAACACAGAGACCUUUAUUAUUAUUGGAAUUUCUAAAUUAUACCAUCCUACAUAAAGAAAUGCCUUUGUAAGUAACAGUUCUACAGAUAUUUUAGUGACAACAAUGUAUAAUUUUUGUUGUGUCAUUUUGCAUUCAGUAAAUCAAAGU